rnacentral:rRNA from 1 species
GUGCCAGCCGCCGCGGUAACACGGGGGGAGCAAGCGUUGUUCGGAAUCACUGGGCGUAAAGGGCGUGUAGGCGGUCAAGUAAGUGGGAUGUGAAAUCCUUCGGCUUACCCGGAGACCUGCAUCUCAAACUGCUUGGCUUGAGUACGGGAGAGGAUGAGGGAAUUCCUGGUGUAGCGGUGAAAUGCGUAGAUAUCAGGAGGAACACCGGUGGCGAAGGCGCUCAUCUGGCCCGAUACUGACGCUGAGGCGCGAAAGCUAGGGGAGCAAACGGGAUUAGAUACCCUGGUAGUCC